rnacentral:rRNA from 1 species
AAGUGAAAACAGGCGAUAAAUCAUUCAAGUUUCUGACCUAUCAGCUUUCGACGGUAUGGUAUUGGCUUACCGUGGCAGUGACGGUUAACGGGGGAUUAGGGUUCGAUUCCGGAGAGGGAGCCUGAGAAACGGCUACCACAUCUAAGGAAGGCAGCAGGCGCGCAAAUUACCCAAUUCUAACAGUUUGAGAGAGGUAGUAACAAGAAAUAACAAUACAAGGCAGUUAAAAUGCUUUGUAAUUGGAAUGAUAGAAAUUUAAACCCUUUUUAAAGUAUCAAUUGGAGGGCAAGUCUGGUGCCAGCAGCCGCGGUAAUUCCAGCUCCAAUAGCGUAUAUUAAAAUUGUUGCAGUUAAAAAGCUCGUAGUUGAAGUUCUGCUGAAAGUAACCGGUCUGCUUUUAAUAAAAGUGGUAUCUUGGUAUGUAUUUAGCAAUGAUGUCCUUUGAAGUGUUUUUUACUUUAUUGUAAUAAAGCAUAUUCAGGACUUUUACUUUGAGAA